AGACAACAAGAGAAUGCAAAAAGUUGGCCAGGAAGAAGUUCUACAUCAGGUUGAUGACUAAACAACUCGCUAAAAGUGGGGACUUUUCUAAACUGCGAUGUGAUGUACUGAUCUCGACACCAUUGCGCCUAAAGUUUGCUAUCCAAAAAAGAAAGCUUGAUUUAAGUAGGGUUGAAUAUCUUGUCUUAGAUGAAUCUGAUAAGCUUUUCGAGCCUGGCAUGCUAGAGCAGGUUGAUUUUGUGGUGAAGGCGUGCACAAAUCCUUCAAUUCUUCGGUCAUUGUUCAGUGCUACUUUACCCGAUAUAGUUGAAG
rnacentral:misc_RNA from 1 species